UCUCGCCAGGACAAGGCGUGGAGCCUCCGGGCAAGAACCUGUGGGAGCAGAUCUGCGAGGGCUCAUCACCUACCAUUUGCUCAAAUCAUACUAAUGGCAACAUUUAUUGAGCUGCUCUAUGUGUCAAACACUGUGCUAGAAGCUUUUCCUCUCAUUUAAACCUCACAGCAACUCAGGGCUUUGCCUGUUGUACAGGCAAAAUUGAGGAAACCGAGGCAGAGAAUUAAGGAAACUUAAAUAACAAAUGCAAAUAAAAGCAAAAUGUCAUUUAAAUAUAUAUAAGAUUGGUAAUACCCUCGAGAAACAAUCUUACUAUUAGGAGUAUAAAUUAUUAUAAACUUCUUGGAGGAACAUUUGUCAAUUUGGUCAAAAUUUUAAAUUAUUUUUUCCUUUAACAGAACAAUUCCACAUCUAAGAAUUACUCCUAUAACAAUAUCUCUUUUCCAAUCAAUAUAUAUAUCACCAUAUAUAUAUAUAUGGUGAUGCUCCUGGCAGCAUUGUUUGUAGUAAUGAAAAAUUGGAAACAACCUAAGCACUCAUUAAGUACACUGGUUAAAUAAUUGUGGCAUAUCAUAAAUGUAGCUAUCUUGAAAGAUGGCCAAGAUUCAACACCUAGAAUGGUUCUUGGCACAUAGUAGGCUCUCAGUAAGUGUGAACAAAAGAAUAGAUAAAGAAUCAAAAGUAACUUGCUAUAUUCUUCAUUUUGUUCAUUCAGUCAGCAAGUAUUCUUUGGGAAUAUGAUGGUGAGCAUAAACAGACCCGGGCAAUUUCCCUCACUAAACACAGUCAUUAAUUUUUACAGACUUCAAAUGAGGAUAAAACUGAUAGGAAUUAUGAAGAAAAAGGACUGUGCUAUGAGGUUCUAUACUUGGAUGAUUUGGCAUGGUCUAGGAGAUCUAAAAUAAAUGUACUUGUGUGUUAUAUGCAUAUGUUAGUAAAUACGUUGAAAUACAGUGGUUAUGGGUUAUAAUGGGAUUGGAUGUGACUUACACUCUUUACACAAGACAGGUCUGUAUUAUUUGGAAUUUCCUCAUCAUAGCAUGUAUUGCUUUUGUCAUCAGACAAAGCUCUAAAUAUGUAUAUCCUAAGUCUGAAUAAAUAGUUUUCACACCAUGUUUGUGUUUCUCAAAGUGUUUGGGAAAGAAGAGCGAGUUUAUAUGCUUGCUUGAGAGGAAAGCAAAGUGGUAGAGCUCAAGCUGUUAUGGUGGGUGGAAAUCUAAGAUGGCUCCAAGGAUUCCCACUCCCUACUGCACACAUCUCCAAGAUAUUCAAUCAAACACAAAUCUAGGCAUUGCCAUCAAGGGAUUUUCCAGACAUUAUUGAAGUUUGUCAUCAAUUGACUUUAAGUUAGGAAGAUCACUAUAAGUGGGCCUGACCUAAUCAGGUGAACCUUAAGUCAAAGUCAUUAAAGCAGAAGAGACUCCUGUUUGCCUUGAAGUAGCAAAUAACCACAUGUGGACUGUCCAUGACAAGGACUGAGGGUGCCCUCUCGGAGCUGAGAGUCCCGCCAACAAAAAGAAAAUGGGAGCUUCAAACCUACAGCCACAAGAAACUGAAUCCUGUCAACAACCAAUGAUCUUAGAAGAGGACACAACCUUCAGAUGAGAUCACAGCCAUGAAUGGCCAACACCUUGAUUUGAGCCUGAUGAGAUCCUGAUCCAUACUGGACUCCUGACCCACGGGAACUGUGAAAUAAUAAAUUUGUGUUGUUUAAUGUU